rnacentral:rRNA from 1 species
AUUGAACGCUGGCGGGGUGCUUUACACAUGCAAGUCGAACGGCAGCACGGACUUCGGUCUGGUGGCGAGUGGCGAACGGGUGAGUAAUGUAUCGGAACGUGCCCAGUCGUGGGGGAUAACGUAGUGAAAAUUACGCUAAUACCGCAUACGAUCUAUGGAUGAAAGCGGGGGAUCGCAAGACCUCGCGCGAUUGGAGCGGCCGAUAUCAGAUUAGGUAGUUGGUGGGGUAAAGGCCCACCAAGCCAACGAUCUGUAGCUGGUCUGAGAGGACGACCGGCCACACUGGAACUGGGACACGGUCCAGACUCCUACGGGAGGCAGCAGUGGGGAAUUUUGGACAAUGGGCGAAAGCCUGAUCCAGCCAUUCCGCGUGCAGGAUGAAGGCCCUCGGGUCGUAAACUGCUUUUGUACAGAACGAAAAGGUUUCUACUAAUACUAGGAGCUCAUGACGGUACUGUAAGAAUAAGCACCGGCUAACUACGUGCCAGCCGCCGCCGCAG